CCUACGGGAGGCUGCAGUGGGGAAUAUUGGACAAUGGGGGCAACCCUGAUCCAGCCAUGCCGCGUGUGUGAAGAAGGCCCUCGGGUUGUAAAGCACUUUCAGUGAGGAAGAACGCCUGGUGGUUAAUACCCAUCAGGAAAGACAUCACUCACAGAAGAAGUACCGGCUAACUCCGUGCCAGCAGCCGCGGUAAUACGGAGGGUGCGAGCGUUAAUCGGAAUUACUGGGCGUAAAGCGCGCGUAGGUGGCUUGAUAAGCCGGUUGUGAAAGCCCCGGGCUCAACCUGGGAACGGCAUCCGGAACUGUCAAGCUAGAGUGCAGGAGAGGAAGGUAGAAUUCCCGGUGUAGCGGUGAAAUGCGUAGAGAUCGGGAGGAAUACCAGUGGCGAAGGCGGCCUUCUGGACUGACACUGACACUGAGGUGCGAAAGCGUGGGUAGCAAACAGGAUUAGAUACCCGGGUAGUC
rnacentral:rRNA from 1 species